rnacentral:rRNA from 1 species
AGUGAACGCUGGCGGUAGGCCUAACACAUGCAAGUCGAACGGCAGCACAGUAAGAGCUUGCUCUUACGGGUGGCGAGUGGCGGACGGGUGAGGAAUACAUCGGAAUCUACCUUUUCGUGGGGGAUAACGUAGGGAAACUUACGCUAAUACCGCAUACGACCUACGGGUGAAAGCAGGGGAUCUUCGGACCUUGCGCGAUUGAAUGAGCCGAUGUCGGAUUAGCUAGUUGGCGGGGUAAAGGCCCACCAAGGCGACGAUCCGUAGCUGGUCUGAGAGGAUGAUCAGCCACACUGGAACUGAGACACGGUCCAGACUCCUACGGGAGGCGGCAGUGGGGAAUAUUGGACAAUGGGCGCAAGCCUGAUCCAGCCAUACCGCGUGGGUGAAGAAGGCCUUCGGGUUGUAAAGCCCUUUUGUUGGGAAAGAAAAGCAGCAGGUUAAUACCCCGCUGUUCUGACGGUACCCAAAGAAUAAGCACCGGCUAACUUCGUG